GAGGGGAGGCGGUGGCAAGUGGAGGGGGGGGGAAGGAGGGGAUAAAAUGGAGCGCGGGCGGCGGGGCCGGGCCAGCCAACAUGGCCCCCUCGGCGCGCUGCGGCCAAUCCCCGCCGCCUGCACUCGGCAGGCCCCGGCGGGGGGGGAGUGGGGAUGGGGAGUCCCGGGGCGCCUCCCGGCUGAGCCCUCAGAGGAGGGGGUCGGGGCUGUGAGGGGCGGUUGCUGCCCGCACUGUGAGGGCGGCCGGGGGGGGGGGGGGUGCGGGUCGGUGGCCUCGGUCGUGGUCCUGGCGUGGCAGCCGCGGCCCUGCGGGGGUGGGUGGGGGAAGGCAGCGCCGCCACGGCCUCGGGCACGCCGCGCAAGGCCGGGGUUUCUCCACAGGGGUUCCUUGGGCUUGCCAGCGCGGCGCCUGGGGCUCCCCUGCCACGCUGACUGGCGUCUGGGGCAGGCAGGCAAAACCGAGUACUUCACACGUCGAGUAUUGAUUUGGAGAUCCAAAUCGAGGAGUAGCAGCUCACAAAACGCUUAGAGAUCAUAUCUACUGAGGUGACUUAACAGGUCCUGGGCAGGAGUCCUUAGGGGAUCACCUCCAGCCAGGAGGGGCUGCAAGGGGCACCCGGCUCUGGGGCUUCUGCUGCCUCACCGGGUGCAGCAGGGGGAGAAAAAGCUCCACAGGUGAGCGGUUAUGCAGCUCUUCAGAGGAGGCCUCAGCAAGAAGAUUUGGUUCCCCCGCGGACUGAAGAUGCAAAGCAGUGCGGGGGGAUUCCCAGAGUCGCCCUCCCCUCAGCGUGGUGCCCAGGAGGACUGCAUGGGCUGUGCGGGGAGGGGCAGCAGGGAUCUGCCCCUUCGGCAUCCUCUGCAGCCUGCUGAAGAGAACUAGGGACGCGCUUCUAGUUCUCUGCGACCUGUUGCUUCUGUCUUCUAAAAAGAGUUUGUAUUAUUAUAGCCAAUAUCAGAUUUCUUACGUAGUUCAGAUAACUACAUGUCGUAAUACAUGAAUUUUAGGAUCUCUAAAUAGCUCAAAUAAGCUUAUGUUGAUAGAAACAUAAGAUAGGUUCUUAUUCUCCAUUACUUCAAAAUGCAAACCUUUAAGCAAUUGAAGUUUCAGCUUUCUAAUAUUUUAUUUCCCUUCUUCUGCUUCCUUCAUUGCUAAAGCUUUAUUUUUUUUUUCUCUGACUGCUUUUAACAGUUAUGCUGAAGUUCUCUUAGAAGUUCUUUUCUUUUAGCCAGCCCUAUAGGUUUUGCUUCUGUAUGUUUUCUCUGAUGAACAAUGGAAGAUAACUUCAAAAAAUAAACGUGCCUGUUGUUUGGUGGUGGUUUUUUUUUUUUCGUCCUCAUGGUUUUGAGAAGAAAGCACAUAUGUCUCUACUUUUCUGUUCUCUCUGAAAAAGUAUUUCUUCAAAAGAAAGGCAACCUUUAUCCUCUUAGUACAAUUAGCCAGCCAAUCAUAGUGCAUCCUUAAUAAAGCUAUCAAUGCAAUUAUAACGGUGUGAAGGGCUUUCAGAUGUAGAGAGUUUGAAUGGUAAUGUCAUAAGUUGAAAACACAGGCUUAGAAUGAUAAAUCACAUGAAUGACUGAAAACAGGAUCAUGGGACUGGUUAUUCUGUUGCUGAAAAAGAAAAUUGAAUCUCAUGAAUCUCUUAGCAUUUAGACAAAAGGAAAAAAAAAAAACAGAUUGUUUAAAUGUGCGGAGUUAAAUGUAGAUUUUUGUUUGGGGUUUCAUUUUCUUAAACAUAUCAUCAGUUCUGGGGAUCACUGUCACAGAAGUUCUGCAGAGUGCUAAAUGUUUUCUUUCAAUUUUGCUAAACUUCUGUCACUUUAUAUCACCAUCCAAAAGGCUACCAGUAUUUAAAGCAAUUAUAAUUUUAGCUGGUUUCAUACAUUUUGUGAGAUACUUGUUUUCUCACCACCACUGUUCCCUCAUAAGCUAGCUUGCAAUGCUUUGAUCUAUCAAUACAUACAGAUGACUCUUCUAAAAUAUUGGGUUUGAUAAAGUAGGAAGAAUACGGUGUGUCUCCCCUCCUUUAUUUAUAGAUGUCCUACCUACAGCAGUUAGAGCACACGCAUGUUUGUGUUCUGGAUUCCCACGGAACUCCAGCAGCUCGUUCUGCCUUGGGACCUACCACUCGCAUGCAUCAUAGGCUGUAGGAGGAGAAGUCCCACACUUUACUGGCUCAUCUUUUAUCCUGUCUGGGUGCAGGAUAAAAUUUUCCAAGAAAAAAAAAAAAAGAGGAAAUUGAUUGCUGCACUUGCCUGGUUUCCUGUCCUUUGAUUAUCCAUGGAAGCUGCUGUAGGGGUAUUGAGGUCAGGACUGGAAUGAGGUCUGCAGGCACUGCAUCAGCUGCUGAGAUCCCAUUGUUGCCACAGUGACUGCUUUGAUCCUUCUCUGUAGCCACUCUGUGGGACUUGGGAAAGCAAACAGCGGCUGCCUGCACAGAUUGCAGCUAUUAGAGCAACUCUUCAUAUGUCUCUGUCGACACUCUCUAGAAGCCUGGUAGGAAUCUGUGAUGCAGGUGAGGACUUGCAGUGCCACUGCAGACUGGGCCUUGGUUGAUGUCUCGUGGCUACCCGGUGCGCUGCCUUUACAACACGCUGCACGAACGUGGAGGAGAACACUUUCACAUUACUUUUGGAGCCCUUAACAAAUCUGCAGGGUGAGGGUAAGCUCGUGUUAUUUUACCUCUGAACUUAUUUACAGUCAUAGGUUCCCAUACAGUUCAAGCUGGGGAGGUCUACUUUGUUUUGUUGUGUUGUCGGCUGGCAGUUUGUAAACACGUUUGAUCUGAAAUAUACACGGGAGCUCCUGCACGGAGGAGCUGUGCUCCACACCUGCAGAUGUGAAACACUGCAGAUGCAAAGUGAGCGCGUAGAGGCAGAUGGUUUCUCUCAUGGCCUUGCAGAGGCAGAUGUAAACCAGACUAUGGUUAUAAAUCUUUUUAGGUUAGCACUAAGUUUAAUUCUUUUGACUGUGUGUGGGGGGACAAUUGCAUCCAAGGGUCUGGAUCAAAAAGAGAUGGAAUAUUGUCAUAAAUAACCGCAAAUAAAAAUCUGAUUGCUAUUUAUACUUGCAGGCAACCUAUUUUGUAACAUGGAAACCUCUCGGCACCCAAACUGUUUGAUUCUGACUGAUAUGUCCUAGAAGUUUGCCUGGCAGUUGGAAACUACGGAUGUGAAUUAAGUAACCCUGCAGUUGGGAUAUCAGAAUGCUGCUUCCACUGCUGUUUCUCCAACACCUACAUCUGUAGUUUGGUUCUCCGCUUGCCACAAUGACAGUCACGAGUACACUGCUAGCUGAUAAAAGCAUAAUUGUAGUACUAAAAUGAAGUCUGCCAUGAAAUAGGCAGUAUGAGAGGAGAACGUUUGAGAAUCUGAACUUACUGAAAAAGUAUUUUUGUCUAAGUCCUGUUUUCAGUAAGAAACUAAAAAAGCCCUUUUUUCUUUUAGGGAUUUGUUGGUAGUAACCAGUUUUGUGGACUUUUUUUUUUAACUGUUUGCUGUGCUCCUUUUUGAGAGAAUCACUCAUCUCUUGGUAGACUGAGGAUACUUUGUGAGUCUGGGUGCUGAGAUGAGAUUUUUGAGUCAGGGUUUAAAGCAUAGUCUGCAAAGAUCAUGUCUAAACAGGAACUGUGGUAAAGAACCACUGCUAAGCAUUUGUGUUAGGAAGAAGGUAGCUGAUUCAAGAACAGAACUGGAGGUUUUGAUGAUCAGGUGGAGCACAGGACUGAGGUCACCUGUCUCUCAUUGCACUACAUAAGAUAGCACUGAAGCCUUACUGCUUUUUUUCGAUAGAGGAGUCAAAUGGGGAGGAGUUUUCAAGAGAAAGAAAGUAAAGGUAAUCACUUUAGAAAUAGCAAGUAAGGAGAUGUUAUUGAAGUAGAAACGUGUUAGAGAUUCAUAAGUCCAGAAGUAUCUUGGAAGUGGCUACGAUGAUCUGAAAAUAGCCGGGGAAACACACCAAUGAAGUUGCCCUGCGCGUGGAGGUACUACUGGCUUUAGUUUGUAGAGGAUAGAUGAUAGGAGUCAGCCAGUCAUUGUGAGCUCAUUGUAUUGAGCCUUCUAUAGACUUCUACCAAAAAUCACAGAACCUUCAUUGACUGAGACCAAAAUGGGCUGCAAUACCAGUAAGAGCACAGCAGUUGUGGAAUCUGAACAAAAACCUGGAGAACAGCCUGAGGAAGAAGAAAAAGAUGACCCUUGCACGGAAACAACUGCUGAUGCUGCCCAGAAUUUGGCUUUGAAGGACAGUGCUUGUGACAGAACAAGUUGAAAUAGGAUAUUGAUGUACUUCAAAUACAAACUGCAGCUAUGAAGUAAGCAACUUAAUUAUUGGUGUUCUGUGCUUGAAGGGAUUGAUCUUUGUAUUACUGACAGACUGUGCAGAUCAAGUCGAGUUUCAUACAGGAUUUGAAGGAAGUCUGUAUUUACAGCCGAUGGUGCGAUAUGCCAUUGAAUUUGAUGGAUUCCCUGUGUGAAUACCCAGAAGUUUGUGUGUUGCAGAAGAAGCAAGCUAUCAACAUUGCUUCCUGGAAACUUGCUCUGAAGUCUGAAGUAAUCUCGUGGAAAUCAAUGGAGACCUAAAUCUAAGGCAUUAACUGACUUUUUUUUUUAAUGUAUGUGUAUGUAUUUGUUAAUUUUGACUCUGACUAAGUUUGUAUUGUAAUGACAAGUAUAAAUAGCAAUAAUAUAUGUUGAAUAAUCUGAAAGUGUUAUGUGAUAAACACAAAUGUACUUCAGUAUAUACAAAUUCAACUACAUGUGAAGUUUUGUCUAUUCUCCAAACUGUGCAUGUUGAUCCAUUGAUAUACCUUCAUGUUUACUACAGUUCAUUAUGAUCUGAUGUGCUGGAAUUUUGAGCAGUUUAAAAAUCCUGAUUAUAAUCAGUCUUCAGUCCUGUUGAUGAAAAGAUGUGCAACAAUUCCUGUGCUUGAAGAUGUAAACCAAGUAAAUUAAUGUUGUAACAUAUUUGGUUCUUUCAGUUCUGAACACGUGCAGUGAGGGAUGUGCACAUGCUUAGACAUGCACACACCUUGGUGUACAUUUCUUUGUGGUCUGACCUAUACUUAACUUUGGACUGUUAAUUAAAAGACAGUCUGGCAUUUCCUAGUUUUCUCAUGAUUUAAGCACUUGUGAAUAGUGUUUAUAUAUGUCCAUUCUGAGAAGACGAAAUCUUUAUUGUGUGUCCACUACACGGUGGAUGGUGUGCAUCUUUAAUGAAGUAUCGCACUCACUUUACAAGAAAGGCUGAAUGCCUGCUCUGUAAUAGCACUGAAAUGUUCUUGAUUGCCAUAUGUAACAACUCAAGAACAUGAUAUUCUGGAACUUUUUUUCAUAAAUAAGGCAGAUUUUAAAGUUAUUUCAGUAGCCUAUUCAUCUGAAUUUGGUGUCUGAUAGUUUUACCUCAUUCUACUUACCUAUUUUAAUUACUUGAACUAUUCUAGCUUGAGAGCAAAUGAGUUGAUUGAAAACAAGUAAGGUGAGAGGAAAAUAAACUUCUAGCUGUUUCUGAAUUGUGGACAAACUCUAGAAAAGAAGAGGACCUAGCUUCAACUCUCAAAGGGGCAUAUAUAUGAUAUAUUUGGUCAUCUGCCUAAGUUUCUGAGGGUUGGCAGUGUAGCACUUCAAACUGACUAGAGGGUAAAGCUGGGUGUUUAAGACACUUCUGGUAACUAAAUUCAUGUACUUCUGAGCUAAAAAAAUUGUUUGCUGUUUCUGCUUUUUCAGAUGUGCUUUGUCAGUGUUCUUUGCUUAAAAACUUAGCUUCUUUUAAAUCCUGUGUCUUACACAAAUGAAAACCUGCUGUCUCUUAAGGGGUAACACUAACUGUUGGGUAGAGAAGGAAUAACAGAAGGUGACUCCUCUCUGAAGGGUCUGUUUCUUGCUGUGGUGGGUAUCUAACAUGGAGAUGUAUAUUCAAUGAGUAGUCUGAGUUCAGUAAAUAUAAUUUAUUCAGUACGUCUGUUGGGCAUACCUCAGUUGGCAUGGAGGUGGUGGUGGGAAGCAGGAAAGAUCAGAUCUGUUACUACUUGCUGUGUGUGCAUUAUAGCCUCAAAAGCCAGUGAAGACAAGUUAAAGGGGGUUGGCGCUUCCAAAUGGGAACUUGACACUUGGCAGAAUUAAGCCAUAAUUCAGCAGAUUGUUAGAGCUUUUCUUUAGCCAAAUGCAUGUUAGUUGGUGUUUUUGUAUGUCUACAUUAGCAUAUCUUGUUUAAAUGCUGGCGACGCUAAUUUGAGAGUAUGAAAUAUAGCUGCUUUCACUGUGUAAACUGAGAAUUUAGCUAGAGCAACCUGUGUAUAAUUUCACUGCCAGUGUGUAGGCUACCAGACCUGUGUUGGUACGUGGGUACACCUAGCAACCUGAAGCUCCUGGGGGUCAAAUCCAGAAGUUUACAACAGGAGUUACCGUCACUGUAAGGAUGUCUAACUGCUACACUUGCAGAGGGGCUAGUGUCUUACCUUAGAGUACUAUGGGAUGAUUAGUUUGAGAAGUUCCGAAAAUACUUUGCAGGUGGUUCUUCAUCCGAGUGCCUGGUGGCACCCACGGCAUUUCAAAGGUGCAUGCAGUGUGGCUGGGAGUGGCAGGUGGCCAAUGUAAACAGCAGCCUGUGGCAGUUGCUUGCAUAUCUGGUGUGUAUGCAUUCUUCUCUCACGCACUGGAUCCUAUAUUCUUAGUGGUAGCUUGGGACCUGAGGUAGGUAUCUUUAUUUGAAUGGUCAUGUGGAGAACUUCAUGUCCUUUGCUCUCCCAGUGACCCAGUGCAGUGUUCCCUAAAGUGGUAUAUUUACAGCUUUACUCCCUGAUGGGAGGGCAAGGUUGUGCUUCCAGAACAAUUGUACUUCUUUCUGUUGGGACUACCAGUUCAGUUCCUGCACUUCACAGCUGGCAUUUCUAACAUGAAUUUUUAAAAUGGCACUUGAUCCUCAAGUACUUAGCUUAAGGCAUUGGCCAGAUAAUGAUUUAGCGUUUCUUGAUACAGACUUCAAGUCUCAGAACUUACUAUGUACACACUACAAGCUACUAGUACGGAAAUUAUUUAUAAUGUUCUAAGCAUAUUAUAUUUCUGAUUCUUACAUCCUGGAAAUUAAACAGAGGAUGGCAUAAGUUACCAAGCUAGUGGUACUCAACAUCCUGUAGUUUCUCUUUAACAUUGGAUACAAUACCUAGUUUCCUCUUUUCCCUAGGAGAUUAUCCUAUAACUGCUUUUUGGCUUCCUUCAACUCAGACUUAGGUAAUUUUCAAGUGUCUCCCUUUCCUCACAAAAAGGCUUAUAAAAUGUUGUCCUACCAUGUUCUUCAUGAUUUACUCAUCUAGCAUAGCUAGUCUGCACAUGUCAGAGGAACUGCUCUGCAGAGCUUGGGAUUUUGGGUCUAGGCUGUUGUAAUAGAUGAACUGUAGUGAUACUGUCAGGGAGAUUCAGACCCAUUUGUUCAUAUCUGAAAUGAUAUUGAGAACUGGACCACAAGCAGCAGCAUGGAGCCCUGGGCAGGGCUAGCUAGCUGUCCUGCUAGCUAUGUGUGUACUAGCUCAGAAGGUUGUGCAGUUGUGCUAUGAUGCACCACAAACACUGAAGGAAAGGAAAGCUGUGUGGUAGGCACGUGAUCUUGGAGUCUGGUGUGAGAGUACUUGACCUCCAAACAUCAAGGGUUUUGUUGGUUUUGUUUUCACUCUUCCUGCACUCUUCCUAUCUACCCUAUUAUGUAAUCUUAUCUCUGAGAGUUGCUAUAUGCCCUUAUGUUGAGCUUUCUGUUUUUCCCAUCGCUUCUCUGUCUCUGGGAGGGAAAAACGGUUGGUUUAUUGCUUUACAUUCAAAGGAGGAGGAAAAUUACUUGGGCAAGUGUUAGUAAAUAUCUAUUGAGCAAGUCUUUGAUAAGCAAACAGUUGCGGAGAUGACUGAAAACUGCCUUAUGAGCAGGUGCUGGGGCUGUGUGGUCUUUUGGGUCCUGCUGCCCUCAAAAUAACACCAUUUUUUAUAACGAUGCUGAGAGCAUGUUCUUUGAAUUUUGGCAUGUGGAUAAUUGAUUAUGAAAGCUACAGAGUGGCAAAUGGGACAGAACAGUUAAUAGAAAGUCUAUGGAGUCUUGCCAGUGAUCCCAGAAAUAAAAUAUUUGCCACAAUUUUGGAAACCAGAGCUGAUCUGGGGAUUGAAAAAUGCAAAAUAACUUUCUUCUAUGCAACCUUCAGUGAUCAUCCAACUUCCCAUCUUGUGCAAGGAAGUUGAUCCAUCUCCCAAGGAUCUAUAAUCAUACCUCCCUCACUCCUGAAAUGGAGUGUCUUCACUUAUGAGUUCGGUCUCUCACCUGUAACCAUUCUUAUCCUAUUUUCUGUGCUGUUGUUACUUUCCACUGUUGUCUAUUAUGAAUAAAAAUAUAUUAUGAAAGCUUUUUGCUGAUCCAGAUCAAAAAUACCACAAAUCAUCGUUGGAGCAUAUGGAAUUCUGAUGUUAAAAAACAAAAAAAGGAACAUGCUUAGGGAAAGCUUGCAAUUGUAUUUAUGGAUAAGACUAAAAAAAAAAUAACAUGCUACAUCGUAAGUAGGCAGGAUAUUUAAUUUAGCUUUGGGUGUCAUGGAACAGGAUUAAUUAUAUCUGUGUGGACAUAUAGGUAAUGACUUAAACUAAAGCCAGCUUGGUUGCUGCAGUUCUUUGAAUUGUCACUCCAUUGCUUUUUAGAGCUGAAAUCACAUAGAAAUGGUUGUUUUGUCUUUUUACUUAGCUGGUUGUAAAAUAUUAACAUGCCUUUAACUCAUGGUAUCACUGUCUCUGCAAUUAGAUUCUUACUGGGCAUUAUGUAAAUCCACCAUGCCAUCUAGCAGGGGGAGGAGAGUAAUGGGAAGGAGGUUUGUAAUGUUUUGUAACAGAUGGCCUUCAUCUUGCAUAUGUAAUUACAGAUACUCCUCACUUAGAUGUUGCUGUGUCCCAGUAGUACCUGCUUUUUGGAAAUAAAAAAAA